UACGUAGGGUGCGAGCGUUAAUCGGAAUUACUGGGCGUAAAGCGUGCGCAGGCGGUCCGCAAAGUCUGAUGUGAAAGCCCCGGGCUCAACCUGGGAACUGCAUUGGAAACUAACGGGCUCGAGUGUGGCAGAGGGGGGUGGAAUUCCACGUGUAGCAGUGAAAUGCGUAGAUAUCUGGAGGAAUACCGGUGGCGAAGGCGGCAUCCUGGACCGACAUUGACGCUGAGGAGCGAAAGCUAGGGGAGCGAACAGG
rnacentral:rRNA from 1 species